UCCCCUAUAGAAACCAUAUAUCGCCUUAUCUCAAUAAUAAUAACAUAUUAAAUAUGAACAAUAGAAGAAAGCUACAUAUGUAUAAUUUUGUAUAUCGCAUAGUAAAUAAUAAUCAACCAUUUAAUUUAAGAAGUCAGUUUCAAGAAUUCGAACAUGCGCAUGCCACACGAAAUAACGUUUUUAUCGUACCAUUGCAUAGAAGCGCAGCAUUUCAACGUUCUUUUAACCCUGGAAUGCUAUUGUACGUAAUAUUUACGUGCGGACAGCACUAUUUAGCGUGUCACUACAAUUUUAUUACCUUCUCCCACCUUAGCGCUCAAUAGUGCUUUGAGCGGUCUAUCAGGAGUAUGACACGCCUGAACUAGUUUGAUCUGUGUAUUUACAGUAUUGGUUGAAGCCGAAUUUCUAAAAGCCGACACGUAUUUUUUACGUAGCAAUAGUAUUAAUCGUAUUUUAUUUAGGACGUAAUUUUGACGUGGUAAUAGUGAUAAGCAGUAUUAGAUUACCAAAAAAUAUCUCAAAAAAGUUUAACAGAUGUAAGUGGUUAGGUAGUGACUCUGACGAUAGCGUAGCCGAUCCUAAUUUGGCUCCUGGUAAGAACGACAUUGAGGAAACGUUUGAGAAUAACUUGAAAAACACCUUUUGUUAGCCAGGAUAACCUAGUAACGUCUGAUGAAGUUACUCACUCUAGACUGCAUAGUUGUUCCACAGGUUAAAAAUUUACUAGGCAAAAAUGGUUGUAUGUGGAAAACUUAACCUAAAAAGAGAGGAAAAAUACCAUCCAUAAAUAUUGAUCAUGUGAGACCAGAUCCAACACAAGAGGCUAAGGAAUUGCUACAACCAGUUACACACUUUCAGUGAUUUUUCCUUGAUACACUUUUAAACAAAGUCUUAUUUUACACAAAUCAGGAAAUUAUAAGACAAAAUAAAAAUUAUAAAGUGGCAUCACAAACUGUAUCUGAAUCAAAUCUGGAGAAACUUAAAUCGCUUUUGGGUCCAUACAUACUUUCUGUUGCUUUAAAAGACAACCACUUAUCAACAAAAGUUUGCUUUAAUAAAGCUUUUUCAAGCAAGAGACGCUUUGAAUUUCUGACUGUGUAAAAGAAGUUACAAACCAGGCACGUACAAUUAGUAGGGUUUAGAGGAAAAUGUCCUUUCAGGAUGUACAUUUCAAAUAAACUGUCAAAGUAUGGUCUAAAAAUUGUAAUGCUUUGUGAUGAGGCGACGAAAUAUUUAAUCAACGCCUCACCAUAUCUGGGUAAAUCCACAAAUACAUACGGUAAACCAUUAGUUGAUUUUUUUUAUGGAGCAGCUUACGAAGCCUAUUCAUUGAACUACAGAAACGUACCAUGGAUAAUUCGUUUACGUCUGUGCCAUUAGUAGAUCGGUUUGUAGCAAAACCAUUUAGUCUUACGGUAGUGGGCACUAUUCGGAAGAAUAAAGCCCAUCUGCCACUACAAAUAAUAAAAGAAAUAAAAAUAAACGACAAGUUGGAACUACAAAUUUUGUAUAUAGUCACAAAAGUACUUUAGUUUCAUAUAAAGCAAAGCAAAAUAAAACAGUAAAUCUUAUUUCCAGAAUGCACACCACUAUUGGAAAAAUUAAACCUGAUUUAAAAAAGCCAUAUAUUAUAAAAACUUACAACUCAACUCAAAGGGUCAGUUGAUACCUUUGAUUAAAUGUGCCAAAAUAUGUUAUACUAAUCGUAAAACUAGACGGUGACCUUUGAGUUUUUGUUUUUAUAACAUGAUUAACAUGGCAUGUAUUAACUCGUAUGUAAUAUAUUUUCAGAAUAUUAUUUGGCAAGGGGGAAAAACCAUUAUGUAGAGAAACUUAUAUAUGACUGAACAAGAAAAAUAUAUAGAACCUAUUGCAGAAGAUAACCAAAGAGAAAAAAUGGAUGAAAAAAAAUUUGAUGUUCAAUAUAUAUUUAUAAAAACAGUAUUUUUUCAAGUCUUUUAUUUUCUGCUAGGUAAUACUUUUAAGAGUUUAAUGUUUCAAGUAUUUUAAUAUAUACGUAAAUUUUAUGUAGCAAUAGUAUUAGCAGCCCAUGAAUUAGCGAUAGUAUUCCAGGGUUAAGUAUGUAGCUGUUCAAAUGUGGAAUGGCUUAAACAAUGACAUAAAGCAAAUGCCCUUGGGAGCUUUCUCUGGUCAAAUAAAAUCUAAACUACUUAUGGAACAAAUAAUUGGCAAUUAAUUCAAGUAGGGUGAUAUAUAAAAUGUGAUAAUGCGUAUAAUAACAUAAUACAAGAAAUAGUAACAUGUAACAGAAGAUAUACAUGUGUAUAUAUAUAAUAUGCUAAUUUUCAGUGGAAUGUUCGGAGAUUAUAUUUUAAAAUCCCGCUUUUAGUUUUAUUCUUUCUUUUUCCGUAACAUACAUACGUAUAUUUUUCAAUAGCCUAGGCCGAUGCACGCAUCUUGGGGUUAUUUUUUGGGGUCUUUUUUCGCCUCGUCUGUCCUCUCUCCUUGCGCUCGUCCGUUGUCGCACUGCCGCUGCCUGUCUUAAAAUCUUAGGUUAAUUAAUUCUAUAUCUUACUUUGCAUUCCUAUAUAAAAACGUUAUUUUUAUUUUUGUAAAAUUGUUUCUGUAAAUUGUAAAUGGCUUUUUCAUCCCUUCUUUGCUUGUGCUAACUAGGGAAAACGGUUUUAUAAUCGAGAGAAUAGUCCUAUUUGUCAAUGUAAUUUUUUUUUCUUUGUAAUUUUUAUUGACCUAUAAAACUGUACAUUUUGACAAAUAAACCAUUUUUGAUUUGA